rnacentral:rRNA from 1 species
GUCGAGUGGCGGACGGGUGAGUAACGCGUAGGAAUCUACCUGAUAGUGGGGGAUAGCCCGAAGAAAUUCGGAUUAAUACCGCAUAAUCUAUUCGUAGUAAAGUGGGGGACUUUCGAGCCUCACGCUAUCAGAUGAGCCUGCGUAAGAUUAGCUAGUUGGUAGGGUAAAGGCCUACCAAGGCGACGAUCUUUAGCUGGUCUGAGAGGAUGAUCAGCCACAUCGGGACUGAGACACGGCCCGAACUCC